rnacentral:rRNA from 1 species
GAUGAACGCUGGCGGCGUGCCUAAUACAUGCAAGUCGAGCGAACGGACGAGAAGCUUGCUUCUCUGAUGUUAGCGGCGGACGGGUGAGUAACACGUGGAUAACCUACCUAUAAGACUGGGAUAACUUCGGGAAACCGGAGCUAAUACCGGAUAAUAUUUUGAACCGCAGGGUUCAAAAGUGAAAGACGGUCUUGCUGUCACUUAUAGAUGGAUCCGCGCUGCAUUAGCUAGUUGGUAAGGUAACGGCUUACCAAGGCGACGAUGCAUAGCCGACCUGCGAGGGUGAUCGGCCACGCGGGAGCUGAGAGACGGUCCAGGCGCCUACGGGAGGCAGCAGUAGGGACGCUUGCGGAAAGGGCGAAAGCCUGACGGAGCAACGCAGCGUGAGUGAUGAAGGUCUUCGGAUCGUAAAACGCUGUUAUUAGGGAAGAACAUAUGUGUAAGUGACUGUGCACAUGUGGACGGUACCGAAGCAGAAAGCCCGGCCUAAUUACGU